AGAUGGAUCCGCGCUGCAUUAGCUAUUGUAAGGUUACGGCGUACCAAGGCUACGAUGCAUAGCCGACCUGAGAGGUGAUCGCCACACUGGAACUGAGACACGGUCCAGACUCCUACGGGAGGCAGCAGUAGGGAAUCUUCCGCAAUGGGCGAAGCCUGACGGAGCAACGCCGCGUGAUGAUGAAGGUCUUCGGAUCGUAAACUCUGUUAUUAGGGAAGAACAUAUGUGUAAGUAACUGUGCACAUCUUGACGGUACCUAAUCAGAAAGCCACGGCUAACUACGUGCCAGCAGCCGCGGUAAUACGUAGGUGGCAAGCGUUAUCCGGAAUUAUUGGGCGUAAAGCGCGCGUAGGCGGUUUUUUAAGUCUGAUGUGAAAGCCCACGGCUCAACCGUGGAGGGUCAUUGGAAACUGGAAAACUUGAGUGCAGAAGAGGAAAGUGGAAUUCCAUGUGUAGCGGUGAAAUGCGCAGAGAUAUGGAGGAACACCAGUGGCGAAGGCGACUUUCUGGUCUGUGACUGACGCUGAUGUGCGAAAGCGUGGGGAUCAAACAGGAUUAGAUACCCUGGUAGUCCACGCCGUAAACGAUGAGUGCUAAGUGUUAGGGGGUUUCCGCCCCUUAGUGCUGCAGCUACGCAUUAAGCA
rnacentral:rRNA from 1 species